AUUGAACGCUGGCGGCAGGCCUAACACAUGCAAGUCGAGCGGAUGAUGGGAGCUUGCUCCUUGAUUCAGCGGCGGACGGGUGAGUAAUGCCUAGGAAUCUGCCUGGUAGUGGGGGACAACGUUUCGAAAGGAACGCUAAUACCGCAUACGUCCUACGGGAGAAAGCAGGGGACCUUCGGGCCUUGCGCUAUCAGAUGAGCCUAGGUCUGAUUAGCUUGUUGGUGAGGUAAUGGCUCACCAAGGCGACGAUCCGUAACUGGUCUGAGCGGAUGAUCAGUCACACUGGAACUGAGACACGGUCCAGACUCCUACGGGAGGCAGCAGUGGGGAAUAUUGGACAAUGGGCGAAAGCCUGAUCCAGCCAUGCCGCGUGUGUGAAGAAGGUCUUCGGAUUGUAAAGCACUUUAAGUUGGGAGGAAGGGUUGUAGAUUAAUACUCUGCAAUUUUGACGUUACCGACAGAAUAAGCACCGGCUAACUCUGUGCCAGCCGCCGCAGUAACAC
rnacentral:rRNA from 1 species